AAUCCAUUAUGUAUUUCUAGAAUUAAAACACAAGAGGACCAUGGUUAGGGGAAAGCAUACGAGUCCAUAUUUGCAUAUUGAAAAAUAGAGCAAAAACUUUGCUCAGAACAAUGGGAAUGACUGCACUCAAGUAACACUUGUUUGCUUUUAGUGUGUUUGCUGUCAGAACAGCCAGAAUAAUGAUCUUAAUACUCCUACUGGAACUCCAUGCAUGAUGUACAGUAAUACAAAGCUUGCCAUUUCAGCUCAAUAAUUAUCUUGGCCAUAUUUACAUACCUAUAAGGAAAUUUACCUUGUGAUAAAUCCCCCACAGAAAGAAAGGGUUAAUCUUACGUGCUAUAAAACUAGGAGUUUUUUUUUAUUUUUUAUUAGAAACACUCAUUUGUCUUUAGUUGUGAGAAUAUCUUAUUUACACCUCCCCCACGUCCAAUUAGGAUUUACUGAUUUUAGGGAAAAAAGUUAAUUGGCCUGCUGAAAGCCACCCUAAAAUUGAAACCCCUUAUCUGCAAGAUAAAGGAUCAGCAAAUGCGUGGCAAAUGUGCCUAAAGACAGAAAAAAGGGCUGUCCUUUUACCAAGGGGGGAAAAAAAAAGAUAAAAUCAUUUAAAGCAGCCAACAAAUCUCUUUUAUUUCCCAACAAAGAAACCUGUCUGCUCUAUUUAAAACACGGGAAUAUGUGUCUCAAAAUCUUCUAAACAUUUGUUUAGACAAGUAGAUCAAAAUAUGCAAAAUUAGGGUAUUUAAAAAAAAACCUUAAAUGGUUAUCCUGUAGUCCUCAUCUGCAUUCCUUUUGAGUUUUUCAAGAUCUGAUUGGUUGGAAUAAUUAUUGAGUAGAUCUUAAGUUCGGGCUGUAAAGCACUGAGGCUCCUAUGUGAAGAAUUCACUCUGACUUUGUACAGAUGAUUUUUUUUUCUUUUUUUUUUUUACUUUUUAAAUUUUCACCAACCUGAGCAUGUAGGGGAUGGAUCAGAAAGCUGCAUUCUGCACUCCUGGAAUUCCUUCAAAAUAAAAAGAGAAAAGUUAGUUUUUUUGGAUGUAGAUUUUUUGUUAUUGGAUAUAUACCAAAAUAUAUAAAUAUAUAUUUUUAAUGGGAAUCGAGCCCAGCUCUGCAGGACAAAGAGAUGUGACCCAGGUGCUGCACUGAAAUCAGCCACUUAGUCCUCAGCCAGGCUGCCAGAAUUAAGCACAAGAGUGGAUUUUCUUCAAAGAUCACGAAAUAAACAAAGUUACUUUGCUCAAAUUCGGGCUGAAGAUAUACCAUACAAAUGUAUUAUACCUACAGAUAUAUGAUUGAAAAAUUUCCCCACCAUGCCAUCUAUUUAAAAACUCCAGAAACCUAUGAUUUGACAAUCAAUGAUUGCGCGAUAGUUUAAAUUUGAAUAUUCAAAGGCUUAACAAAAAGACAGAUCUUUUUUUGAAACAAAGCACUUCCACAUCUAACUGAGGGUCUUUGGCAAUAAGAAUUGAUGUCAAUCCCUCCCACUGGCCUUUUUUC